CAGCAGCCGCGGGAAUACGAAGGGUGCAAGCGUUACUCGGAAUUACUGGGCGUAAAGCGUGCGUAGGUGGUGGUUUAAGUCCGUUGUGAAAGCCCUGGGCUCAACCUGGGGAUUGCAGUGGAUACUGGGUCACUAGAGUGUGGUAGAGGAUAGUGGAAUUUCCGGUGUAGCAGUGAAAUGCGUAGAGAUCGGAAGGAACAUCUGUGGCGAAGGCGACUAUCUGGGCCAACACUGACACUGAGGCACGAAAGCGUGGGGAGCAAACAGGAUUAGAUACCCCCGUAGUCCCUGUCUCUUAUAC
rnacentral:rRNA from 1 species